GACGAACGCUGGCGGCAUGCCUAACACAUGCAAGUCGAACGGAAAGGGCCUGCUGGCGCGUGGUUCCCGCGUGGCAAGGGGGUGUGAAACCUGUGAAUAUCCUUGGUUGGGCUUGAGGACGACCUCAGACAGGCGGUGCUAAUGCAGAAUUCCUGCUCGUGCUGGUUGGGGGGGUUCGGACCGUUUGGGCGGUGGGGGAUGGACUCGCGGUUAACCAGCUGGUGGGUGGGGUAGUGGCCAACCAGGGCAUCGGCGGGUGGCCGGCAUGAGAGGGUGACCGGCCACAUUGGGACUGAGGUACGGCCCAGACUCCUACGGGAGGCAGCAGUGGGGAAUAUUGCACAAUGGGCGGAAGCCUGAUGCAGCAACGCCGCGUGCGGGAUGACGGCCUUCGGGUUGUAAACCGCUUUCGCCUGUGACGAAGCGUGAGUGACGGUAAUGGGUAAAGAAGCACCGGCUAACUACGUG
rnacentral:rRNA from 1 species